AUUGGCAAGGCACGGCAACCAAACGUCAAUGUCACGUCAAGCACUUUCAAAAUAAACGCGAAAAAUCGGGCUAGGCUAGAAACAAAAGUUCUGUUUCGUAAAUAUAUUCAUGAUUAGUAGUUAAAAAGAUAAAUACUUUAAUAUGAUGUCUGAAAUGCAAUUGGUAAUUACAGAGAACAAGCAAGUAAUAAAAACAAUUGUGAAAACUACUAAACCACAAGCUUGUCAUCUUGUAAAGUCUCUUCAAGAAUUUCAACAGUUGGUUAAUUCGACGUUAACUAACAUUAUAGAAGAUCGUGGUGGGAGCAAUGAAGGAGAUAAUGAAGAUUUAAAUGAAGAAAGUGAAGAAGAUGAAGAUGUACCUGUUACUCCAAAGAAGAGAAGGAAAUAGUUCAUAGGUACAUUUUUAUUAUUUUACUUUAUUUUAGCAGUAAAUAUAGUCAAGAGUGAUCAAAAUGGGUACAUAUGGUAUGCACCAUGUUUUUAUUCAAUAUCAAAAACCUCAAGUAAUAUUAUUCAUUUAGAUUUUUAUUAAUAUUACAAUACUUUGGUAAUUAACAUUAAUUUUAAGAUACCUCAUUGUUUAGAUGUUAUGAUUUGAUAUAGCUAUAACUAGGGUAUGGACAUGUGGUUGCAAUCUUAAUAGAAAAAAAAAUAUUAUCAACAUACUCUUUCUCAUUGAGUGUUAAAUCUACUUAUUAUUAUAAAUAGUUGCAAACUUCUCCAGCAGACAAAUCUAAAAUCUGUUUUUUUUUUUAAUAAAAUGUUUCAUGUCUGUGUAUUGCAGUUGACUGACCUGUUUUUAAUUGAUAUAAUACCUAUCCAUAGACUAAUUUCAUUACUUACGUAAAUAUUUAUAAAAUAACCACAUACAUGUAUAAUAUUAGGAUUUAGACAACUGUUUAUUGGUAGGUGUUAUAAAUCUGUCUAUCUCUGAACUGAUAAUUCAAUAUUUGCAUUCAAGAAACUUUUUACCUAUUUUAAUAUGAAGUGUAUGUUUUAGAAAAAUCAAUCAUUUGAGCAUUGUUCAUUAAUGUAUAAAUUAUGGGCUUUUUCCAUCCAAAAUGCCACCACCUGUUGGUACGCUAGCUAUGACAGGAGUGAAAAGGCUCCUUAGUUUAAUACAGAUUAAUAUUAGGACAACUUUCACUAAAAACAGCCUAGUUUGAACAUUUAAUUAUUAUUGCAUGUAUCAAUUAAAUACAUUGUAUGUUUAGCUAGGUUUUUGUUUUUAGUGAAACACAAUUCUCCAUUUUUUUUAAAAGCAAACAGGAAAGCGGACCCUUGCACUAGGCCGGGAAAACGCUAGGUUGAAGAAGAUAAUUCUUCAUUUUUUUUAUAUACUUACAUACAUAUAUUAUAAAUUAAAUAGUUAAUGAAUUUGUAAAGCUUCCUUCACUUUUAUAAAAUAUAAUUAUUUUGUAUAAUAAUUAAUGUCAAUGUUAAGCCAGAGGUAAUUGGAAUUCAACAAUAAUAUGGUGUAGAAUGUAUAAUGUACCCAUUUUCAUUACUGUUGAGUGUAUACAGGUGGUUUGUAAAUAAAACAUCAAAGUAUUUUCAGUAUUCUUGGUUUAUUUCUUAUACCACUAACAUUGGUAACAUCUCAUAAGCAACUUAGGUAUUUACAUCCCUAAAUAUUUACAUAGCUUCAUGUUGUAAUACAUUACAUUCUCAUGUUCUGAUAGUGUCUGCAUUGUACUUUUGAUUUGUAUGAUAGUUUAAAUUGAGGUAAAUUCUUUAAAAACUAUAUAAUUAUGUAUAUAAAUUGGACUGGGCAACGAAAGAAAAACAUGAUGAAACUUAAUUAAUUAAUCAUAAAGCCUAUAAAUACAAUAAGCAUUUUUUCAAUCUUUUGUACCUAUAUUGAUUCAUCAAGUAAAUGUACCUAAUUUUUGAUCGUCAACAUAUAAUCGAUCAACACAACCUUUAUUUACUUAGCAGUUAUAAUAAAUACUUCAAACAGUCUGCAAGACUUUCCACAACUAAUCUAAUAUUUAAUUAGCCAUGAAGAAGCAUGGCAUUCAUAACAUAACAUUUUCUUAACAGGAAAACCUAUAAAGCAUGGAAUGUUUUUAUCACAAAUAAUGACUUAACUGAACUUGAACUUAUAAUAGCGAUACUUACACAUUGUUUCACAGCAAUCUGGAAUGUUACAUAACAGACAAAAUAUGAGAAUGCAAAAAAAAGUAAAAAAGAAUCUGAUGAUUGUUUUGAAAUACCAUAUCAAUUGUUACAACAUAUACGUCUCAAUAUUUCCUUAUUGAAUGACCUUAACAAUUGAUAUUCUAAGAUAUAUACAUACAUAUUCUCGUAUAGCCUGAGAACUAUGAGAACAAUACAUUUUAAUAUUAAAAG
rnacentral:lncRNA from 1 species